rnacentral:rRNA from 1 species
AUGCAAGCCUAAGAGUACAUGGAAUUAUAGUAGAUCUGUGAAUGGCUCAUUACAUCAGCAAUAAUCUACCUGGUGACGUUGGGGUUUAACCCCGCCUAUUGGAUAUCCACCCUAACUGGGUGGUUAAUACAUGGAAGCACACCCCCUCCUCACCCUACGCGCGGCGGCGGGGUGACUCUUCGUCGCGCGGAGGCGGGGGGCAUUCAGCUGAUACCAAGACCGGCGCCCGUUAAGGGCAGCGUGCAUGGGUGAUUCAGGCUGUCCUGUCGCAAUAGCAGAGUGAUGUACAUCAUCGCUGCUUGACCAGACGAACUUCUGACCUAUCAGCUUAGGACUGUGGUGUAGUGGACCACCGUGGCUAUAACGGGUAACGGAGAAUCAGGGUUUGAUACCGGAGAGGGAGCCUGAUAAACGGCUACCACUGCUAAGGUGGGCAGCAGGCACGCAAAUUGCCCAAUACCAGCACACCUGGUGAGGCAGCAACGAGCUGUAGCAAUCCUGCCCGUCCUCGUGACAGGCAGAAUUUGCAAUGGAUGCCAUAUCCAAACCCAGCAAUGAGUAUCAACUGGAGGGCAAGUCUGGUGCCAGCAGCUGCGGUAAUUCCAGCUCCAAUGGCGUAUACUAAUAUUGCUGCUGUUAAAACGCUUGUAGUCGACCUCAGAGCGUGGGGCUGCAGGGCGGCCCGCGCCGGCUAUCCGAAGGGCGGCCUCGCGUCGCCCGACGGACGGCCGGUCGUGGGAACUCAACCCCCUGCAGGAUGCCCCCGCGCUCGCCGCACGUGGGACCGAUCGCACCUGCUGCAAGCGGACUUCAUUGGCCGCCGACGSGSCUUCGCCCGCAACGCGGGCACGGGAAUCAUGCGCCACUCGUGCCGCACCCGCCCCCGGUGCCGUCCACGGCUGUCACCGUGAACAACUCAGAGUGUCCAAAACGACCGACUAUUGGCUGUAUGCUUCCGCAUGGGAUGACAAAGGAUCGACCAGAUGGGCUUUUGUAUUUUGCUGGCCUUAAUGCCCGUCAAGGGCAAUGCGGCGUUGGCCCCCCCCGGCCAGGCGCGUCGGCUUCGGUCGGCGGUCCGCCUGACCGGGGGGGUGUAGUGCCGACCGGCAGUGACGGGAGCGCUCGUGGUGAUGGGUAUUGACGCGCUAGAGGUGAAAUUCUUAGAUCGCCUUGGGACUUCCUGCAGCGAAGGCGUUUUGCAAGGGCAUGUCCGUCGAUCAAGAACGAGAGUGUGGGGAGAGAAGAUGAUCAGAUACCGUCGUAGUCCACUACCGUAAACAAUGUCGGCUCGGCGUCGGCGGUGUAUUCUGUUUCCAAGGACACCGCCGGUUCCACUCUUUUGCAACNAGAAAUCAAAGCUUGUGGGUUCAGGGGGGAGUACUGUCGCAAGGCUGAAACUUAAAGGAAUUGACGGAAUGGCACCACAAGGCGUGGAGUAUGCGGCUUAAUUUGACUCAACACGGGGAAUGUUACCAGGUCAGGACGUAGCUGGGAUUGACAGAUUGAGAGCUCUUUCUUGAUCCUUUGGACGGUGGUGCAUGGCCACUCCUGAUUGGUGGAGUGAUUUGUCUGGUUGAUUCCGAUAACGAGUGAGAUCUCUGCCUCCCAAUAGUCCCCCGUCUCGCACUUAUGUAGGGCGGGACGGCGCGCCAGGCUGGUUGCCGCUCGCGGCGCCGGUCGUACGGCCGCCGAUCUCCCGCCCGAGAGCUCGGGGUUUACACGCUUCUCUGAGGUGCUGUGUACGCUUCAAAGUGCAUGCAUGCCAGAGCCAACAGUAGGUCUGUGAUGCUCCUAGAUGUCCUGGGCCGCACGCGCACUACACUGACACAGUGAACGAGCUCACCCUCCGCUUGCGAGCCCUGCCCAGAAGUGGGCGGGAAACCUUCAAGCCUGUGUCGUGCUGGGGAUAGAUGAUUGCAACUAUUUGCCUUGAACGAGGAAUGCCUAGUAAGCGCAAGUCAUCAGCUUGCACUGAUUGUGUCCCUGCCAUUUGUACACACCGCCCGUCGUUGCUACCGAUGAUAGAAGGAUAGAGGCAUCAGGAGGCCGCCCCGGCGCUUCGGCSSNNNCGUGGCUGAAUUUGGCCAAUGUCCUGCUAUUAGAGGAAGCAAAA